AAAUUUGAUUUUUUUUGCCAAAAUUAAGUGCGUUUUUAUUUCGGCACCUAGCUUCACUCUAUCUAUCUCGAUCUCAUACUCACUCUCUCUCUCAUUCUCUGCAUGCAAUUCUGUCUGAACUCACUCUCCUCUCUCUCUCUCUUAUGUCCAGCUCUCGCUCUCAUCUGUGUAUGCUAUCUCAAUGUCUACCUCUCUCCCUCUUGCUCCCUCUGUUUUUCUUUGUCUCCCUAUCACUUUCCCUCUUACAUACGUGGCACUCCGACGCCACACCAUCUGCCCGCCGCCGCAACAUUACUAGGGAGGAACCAACAGAGCCAUUUACAUAUAUGCAGCUGGAUCCCCCGACAAGAGAGGUGAAACUUGAGUGAAGCCACCUUAGUUAUCGGAAUCAAUAUCGCUCUGAGAUGUCGAACUUAAUUUCAAACCAUAGGGUAGCUAGUAGGGUCAGUCAAACACCUUUUCUAGUAGGUAGUGCUGUUGCCACCUCCCCACCUGAUAAGGGCACGACGGAUGUCCCUCCGGUCACGCCUUUGGGGCCAACAGUGUCUACGGCUCAUGCGUCAUCGACUUCUUCAGUGACAUAUCAUGUACUAAGUGCCCGGUGGACUCAUUGACGACCUCAGAGUUUUGAGGAGGCUAAGAGUCUGCUGAGGCUUCCUCUGUCCAUGGAGAGGGGUCCCAAACAGGUAACGCAACUUUCGCAUAGUAUAAUUGAAAUUUUGAACCAUUGUUUUAGUUGUUGUGAAAAUUGAACUUUUAGAUAAUUUGGUUUUUCAGGUAGGUUCAUAAAAAGUCAUUAGUUACAACAUAUUGUCAAGGAGGAUACUAAAAUAUGUUGGUGGAUGACAAAAGAUCCCCAAUCUUCUUUAGGAAAAGUUGGUUGAUAAAUUCUUUGGUUACACCCUUAAAAGGUUAUCUUUCUUAUUCUUUGAUUUUCUCAUUAGUGAAAAUCUUUAGUACAUUUUUCAAGGUAUGAAUAUGGUGUGUUAAAAUUUCAAAUAGACGAGACUACUCACAUCGAUAUUAUUCUCAACUUACAUAAUUACAUGUGCAAUCCAAUAUGUGUGUAGUUUCUUCACAAAUUCACGGCCAAUUAAGCAAUUAGAAGUGAAAACACUUGAUACAAGUUGUAAACUUUCUUUCAAAGUCCCCAAUGGGUAUAAACUGUUUGAAUUGUUGGGUGAACGUGUUGUUGUUGUUGUUAUAUUGUCUGCCGAUUUUAGGAAAUGUUAUAGUUUUAGGGGAGGUUCUACCGAAUUUUUGGUAGAAAAUAGAAUUCGUCUAAUGUUUAGUUUGUUUAUUUGGUAGUUCAAAAAAAAAAAAAAAAACAAAAACAAACCAGGGACCCAUGCAGACUUCUGAAGACGUCAUAGACCACUCACACCACGACCAAGAAGAUCACCAUUACGUGGGAUCCUCGACAUCGUGCGAUUGCAACAAAAAAGUAGCACAGUGUGUUGCCCAGCAACAUUGGGUCGGUUAUGAGGAAUCAUUGCCCCCUCCUGUGGGAGUCCUGGAAAGUUGUCCCAACUGAAGUCAAUGAAGCCGUUCUUCAUGAAUUAUCGAUAACAUCACUAUGAGGUCAUGAACCUUCAUGCGAAUCAAAAGCAGUACAUCAAUGACCUUUGCGUCGAGUUUGAUCUAGAGCAUGAUGGCGGCGCGCUGUAGAGUGUAGCUGGAGAUGCUAGGGAGCGGCGGAGGAAAAUUAUCCACAAAAGGAAGCGGGGUGGGGACGCCUACGACAGCUGCGGCGGAGGUUAAAUCGGGUGGUGGGACUGUAAAUGGGCCGGGUGUGGGGGCCACCACCGCGCCCUGGGCUUAGUCGCUUAAGGCGGUGACGGUGUUGUAGAUGGCGUAGGAUGAGUGGGCGGCGAUGAAGACGUUAUGAUACGACACUGCUUCUUUCAUGAAGAGCUUGCGAUCUUUGCAACGGGAGACCGCUUCUUCGUUCUCGAUCUUCGACUGGGUGCAGCCCAUGAUUAGCUAUUCAGCUGAGAUUGGGGAUAUGGGAAUAGAAGAUCGAAGGAGAUGCUGAUUUUUGAGGAAAUGGGCAUGGAAGAUUGAAGGAGAUACUGGUUUUUGAGGUGAGAAAGUUUUGGGGAGAAAGAAAGGGACGAAUAAUGGGGUUGGCGUUUGGGCAGGAAGGAGGGAGAGGGUUUUAAUUUUUAAUUAAUUUUAAUUGUUAAAAAAAAUGAAUAAUUUAAUAUUAAUUAAUUAAUAUUUUAUUUCAA